AGAUGAGUGGCGAACGGGUGAGUAAUACAUAGGUAACCUGCCCCUGUGCGGGGGAUAACAGGAGGAAACUCCUGCUAAUACCGCAUAGCCAUGAGCACCGCAUGGAGCUCAUGCCAAAUAUCCUUUCGGGGAUAGCGCAGGGAUGGACCUAUGGCGCAUUAGCUGGUUGGCGGGGCAACGGCCCACCAAGGCAACGAUGCGUAGCCGGCCUGAGAGGGCGGACGGCCACAUUGGGACUGAGACACGGCCCAGACUCCUACGGGAGGCAGCAGUAGGGAAUUUUCGGCAAUGGGGGAAACCCUGACCGAGCAACGCCGCGUGAGCGAAGAAGGCCUUCGGGUCGUAAAGCUCUGUUGUAAAGGAAGAACGGCGCAUACAGGAAAUGGUAUGCGAGUGACGGUACUUUACCAGAAAGCCACGGCUAACUACGUGCCAGCAGCCGCGGUAAUACGUAGGUGGCGAGCGUUAUCCGGAAUCAUUGGGCGUAAAGAGGGAGCAGGCGGCCGCAAGGGUCUGUGGUGAAAGACCGAAGCUAAACUUCGGUAAGCCAUGGAAACCGGGCGGCUAGAGUGCGGAAGAGGAUCGUGGAAUUCCAUGUGUAGCGGUGAAAUGCGUAGAUAUAUGGAGGAACACCAGUGGCGAAGGCGACGGUCUGGGCCGCAACUGACGCUCAUUCCCGAAAGCGUGGGGAGCAAAUAGGAUUAGAUACCCUAGUAGUCCACGCCGUAAACGAUGGUCACUAAGUGUCGGGGGUCAAACCCCGGUGCUGCAGUCAACGCAAUAAGUGACCCGCCUGAGUAGUACGUUCGCAAGAAUGAAACUC
rnacentral:rRNA from 1 species